rnacentral:rRNA from 1 species
CACGUAGGGCGCGAGCGUUGUCCGGAAUUAUUGGGCGUAAAGAGCUCGUAGGCGGCCUGUUGCGUCCGCUGUGAAAGCCCGGGGCUUAACCCCGGGUCUGCAGUGGAUACGGGCAGGCUAGAGGUAGGUAGGGGAGAAUGGAAUUCCCGGUGUAGCGGUGAAAUGCGCAGAUAUCAGGAGGAACACCGACGGCGAAGGCAGAUCUCUGGGCCAUUACUGACGCUGAGGAGCGAAAGCGUGGGGAGCGAACAGG